CCUACGGGGGGCAGCAGUGGGGAAUAUUGCACAAUGGGCGCAAGCCUGAUGCAGCCAUGCCGCGUGUAUGAAGAAGGCCUUCGGGUUGUAAAGUACUUUCAGUCGUGAGGAAGGUGUUAAGGUUAAUAACCUUAGCAAUUGACGUUAGCGACAGAAGAAGCACCGGCUAACUCCGUUCCACCAGCCGCGGUAAUACGGAGGGUGCGAGCGUUACUCGGGAUUACUGGGCGUAAAGGGCACGCAGGCGGUUUAAUUAAGUGGAUUGUGAAAUCCCGGGGUUAAACUGGGGAUGGCAUUCAAGGAUGGUUAGGUUAGGGUCUGGUGGGGGGGGUAAGAAUCCAAGGGUAGCGGGGAAAAUGGGAAGGGAGUGGGAGGAUGACCGUGGGCGAAGGCGGCCCCUGGACAAAGACUGACGCGCAUGUGCGAAAGCGUGGGGAGCAAACAGGAUUAGAUACCACGGUAGUC
rnacentral:rRNA from 1 species